rnacentral:rRNA from 1 species
GACAGAGGUGCCAAGCGUUAGGCGGAAUCACUGGGCUUAAAGCGUGUGUAGGCGGGCGAUCAAGUACCUUGUGAAAGCCCACGGCUCAACCGUGGAGGGUCAUUGGAAACUGGGGAACUUGAGUGCAGAAGAGGAAAGUGGAAUUCCAAGUGUAGCGGUGAAAUGCGUAGAGAUUUGGAGGAACACCAGUGGCGAAGGCGACUUUCUGGUCUGUAACUGACACUGAGGCGCGAAAGCGUGGGGAGCGAACAGG